GACGAACGCUGGCGGCGUGCUUAACACAUGCAAGUCGAACGGAAAGGCCCUGCUUUUGUGGGGUGCUCGAGUGGCGAACGGGUGAGUAACACGUGAGUAUCCUGCCCUUAACUUUGGGAUAACUUCAGGAAACUGGGGCUAAUACCGGAUAGGAGCUCCUGCUGCAUGGUGGGGGUUGGAAAGUUCCGGCGGUUGGGGAUGGACUCGCGGCUUAUCAGCUGGUUGGUGGGGUAGUGGCUUACAAAGGCUUUGACGGGUAGCCCGCCUGGGAGGGUGACCGGCCACAUUGGGACUGAGAUACGGCCCAGACUCCUACGGGAGGCAGCAGUGGGGAAUAUUGCGCAAUGGGCGGAAGCGUGAUGCAGCAACGCCGCGUGCGGGAUGACGGCUUUCGGGUUGUGAACCGCUUUCGCCUGUGACGAAGCGUGAGUGACGGUAAUGGGUAAAGAAGCACCGGCUAACUACGUG
rnacentral:rRNA from 1 species